rnacentral:rRNA from 1 species
AUACGGAGGGUGCAAGCGUUACUCGGAAUCACUGGGCGUAAAGCGCGCGCAGGCGGGCUGAUAAGUUGGAUGUGAAAGCCUACGGCUCAACCGUAGAACUGCAUCCAAAACUGUCCGUCUAGAGUCUGGGAGGGGAAGAUGGAAUUAGUUGUGUAGGGGUAAAAUCCGUAGAGAUAACUAGGAAUACCAAAAGCGAAGGCGAUCUUCUGGAACAGUACUGACGCUGAGGCGCGAAAGCGUGGGGAGCAAACAGGAUUAGAUACCCUAGUAGUCC